UACGUAGGGUGCAAGCGUUAAUCGGAAUUACUGGGCGUAAAGCGUGCGCAGGCGGUUAUGUAAGCCAGAUGUGAAAUGCCCGGGCUUAACCUGGGAACUGCAUUUGUGACUGCAUGGCUAGAGUUUGGCAGAGGGGGGUAGAAUUCCACGUGUAGCAGUGAAAUGCGUAGAUAUGUGGAGGAACACCGAUGGCGAAGGCAGCCCCCUGGGUCAAGACUGACGCUCAUGCACGAAAGCGUGGGGAGCAAACAGG
rnacentral:rRNA from 1 species